rnacentral:rRNA from 1 species
UACGAAGGGGGCUAGCGUUGCUCGGAAUCACUGGGCGUAAAGGGUGCGUAGGCGGGUCUUUAAGUCAGGGGUGAAAUCCUGGAGCUCAACUCCAGAACUGCCUUUGAUACUGAAGAUCUUGAGUUCGGGAGAGGUGAGUGGAACUGCGAGUGUAGAGGUGAAAUUCGUAGAUAUUCGCAAGAACACCCGUGGCGAAGGCGGCUGACUGGAUCGCAACUGACGCUGAGGAACGAAAGCUAGGGGAGCAAACAGG